rnacentral:tRNA from 1 species
GGAGGGUAUAGCUCAGUGGUAGAGCAUGUGCUUAGCAUGCGCGAGGUCCUGGGUUCAAUCCCCAGUACCUCCA